rnacentral:rRNA from 1 species
AUGAACGCUGGCGGCGUGCCUAAUACAUGCAAGUCGAGCGAACAGAUGAGGAGCUUGCUCCUCUGACGUUAGCGGCGGACGGGUGAGUAACACGUGGAUAACCUACCUAUAAGACUGGGAUAACUUCGGGAAACCGGAGCUAAUACCGGAUAAUAUAUUGAACCGCAUGGUUCAAUAGUGAAAGACGGUUUUGCUGUCACUUAUAGAUGGAUCCGCGCCGCAUUAGCUAGUUGGUAAGGUAACGGCUUGCCAAGGCAACGAUGCGUAGCCGACCUGAGAGGGUGAUCGGCCACACUGGAACUGAGACACGGUCCAGACUCCUACGGGAGGCAGCAGUAGGGAAUCUUCCGCAAUGGGCGAAAGCCUGACGGAGCAACGCCGCGUGAGUGAUGAAGGUCUUCGGAUCGUAAAACUCUGUUAUUAGGGAAGAACAAAUGUGUAAGUAACUAUGCACGUCUUGACGGUACCUAAUCAGAAAGCCACGGCUAACUACGUG